GACGAACGCUGGCGGCGUGCCUAAUACAUGCAAGUAGAACGCUGAAGAGAGGAGCUUGCUCUUCUUGGAUGAGUUGCGAACGGGUGAGUAACGCGUAGGUAACCUGCCUUGUAGCGGGGGAUAACUAUUGGAAACGAUAGCUAAUACCGCAUAACAAUGGAUGACACAUGUCAUUUAUUUGAAAGGGGCAAUUGCUCCACUACAAGAUGGACCUGCGUUGUAUUAGCUAGUAGGUGAGGUAACGGCUCACCUAGGCGACGAUACAUAGCCGACCUGAGAGGGUGAUCGGCCACACUGGGACUGAGACACGGCCCAGACUCCUACGGGAGGCAGCAGUAGGGAAUCUUCGGCAAUGGGGGCAACCCUGACCGAGCAACGCCGCGUGAGUGAAGAAGGUUGUCGGAUCGUAAAGCUCUGUUGUAAGUCAAGAACGAGUGUGAGAGUGGAAAGUUCACACUGUGACGGUAGCUGACCAGAAAGGGACGGCUAACUACGUG
rnacentral:rRNA from 1 species